UACGGGGGGGGCAAGCGUUAAUCGGAAUUACUGGGCGUAAAGCGUGCGUAGACGGUUAUGUAAGUCGGAUGUGAAAGCCCCGGGCUUAACCUGGGAAUUGCAUUCGAGACUGCAUAGCUAGGAUGCGGAAGAGGGAAGUGGAAUUUCCGGUGUAGCGGUGAAAUGCGUAGAUAUCGGAAGGAACAUCAGUGGCGAAAGCGACUUCCUGGUCCGCAUCGACGUUCAGGCACAGAAAGCGUGGGGAGCGAACAAGG
rnacentral:rRNA from 1 species